GAACCUGCGGAAGGAUCAUUGUCGAAACCUGCCUAGCAGAACGACCCGCGAACCAGUUUACAUCACCGGCGGCGGGAGGGGGGAUGCGUCCACAGCGGGCGCUCCUCCUUCCCCCGCUCGCCGCGGGGAGGGGGACUCAUCCUGCUCCCGGCUGGGAAACAACGAACCCCCAGCGCGGACUGCGCCAAGGAAAUCUAACGAGAGAGCACGCUCCCGCGGCCCCGGAGACGGUGUGCCGCGGGGAGCGGCGCCUUCUUUCACAUGUAUCCAAAAUGACUCUCGGCAACGGAUAUCUCGGCUCUCGCAUCGAUGAAGAACGUAGCGAAAUGCGAUACUUGGUGUGAAUUGCAGAAUCCCGUGAACCAUCGAGUCUUUGAACGCAAGUUGCGCCCCAAGCCAUUAGGCCGAGGGCACGUCUGCCUGGGUGUCACGCAUCGUUGCCCCACCCCACCCCUCCUCCGAACCAAGGCGGGGGGCACGGAGGUGCGGGCGGAGAUUGGCCUCCCGUGUGCUGACCGCUCGCGGUUGGCCCAAAUUUGAGUCCUCGGCGACCGAAGCCGCGGCGAUCGGUGGUGAAAGAAAAGCCUCUCGAGCUCCCGCCGCGCGCCCGGUCUCCGCGAGGGGACUCUGUGACCCUGACGCUCCGCGCAAGCGGUGCUCGCAUCGCGACCCCAGGUCAGGCGGGAUUACCCGCUGAGUUUA
rnacentral:rRNA from 1 species